rnacentral:lncRNA from 1 species
CUUGCAGCCUACUCUGGGAAUAAAAUUUUCACUUGGCUAAGGAGUAAAGGAUGACAAAGGAGAGAUGAAACAAGGUGUUUUAAGGACUCUUGUCCCCGAACUGAUUGUGCGGAUUAAUUUCUUUGAAACCUCUUCCCUUCAAAUGUAUCACAUUCAGCUCCAGACUGAGUCAGUUGGAAAACUGCUCCUUGGAACUCUGACCCAACCAGCUCAUAAAAGAUUCUAAGUCUUAAGACCUGCCAGUCAUUCUUGCAACUUCUACCUUCCUUUGCUACAACAGAAUGGAAAUGUUUGAGAUUCUAUCAGAUGACAUUUUUCAUCAUGAAUCCUUGACGAUUUUCUCAGAACACUGUAUUGAGGAGAUGAGCGAAAAUAGAGUCGUCAAUAAACAGACAUAUUUUCUAAUCCCAAUAGAAGCAGCAGAAGAGGAUGUUUCCUGCAAAUGCAUGCUAUUAAAGUCAUCUCUAAAACUAGCUUCCUCUCCCUCCAUCACCUCUCUGGUUCUUCAUUCAAAGUCCCUGUCCUAUCUCCAAGCAAAAGAUAUAGUACAGAGAGAAGCAGUGAAGGAGAAAAUCAGCUUAAAGAACAAGUUUAAAGGGAUAUUCAACUAAGUGGAUGGCAUAAAGGUACGAAACCAGGAGGAAGAAUACAUUCAGAGUGAAGAUUGAAAAUAUCGGCAAAAGAAAAGAACCAAUAUUCUGUUUUUACCAUUAAAGAUAGUGGGCCUGCCAGAUAUGGACUCCAGUAUUAUUAUCAGAGUAAAUGGCACUGAAUAAUAAAACACAUGAGAAAGAAAGCUAAACUAGAGCA